GGGGUAGGCAUAGCAUAUCAUACGAAAAACUCAGAACAAAUUCUAUCAACUCUCUCUCUCUCUCUCUCACCGUAAAUCCCUUCUUCUCUUCUGCUCCACACCCCAAAUUUCAUCUCCAUCUUCUGUCACACGAACAGCGCUCCACCUCCAUUCAACCAGCUUCACGCUACCCUCAUUUUUACCAACUUCUUCAACCAUCGACACAUACUACUUCGCAUACUCCCUCCCUGUGCAUCUUCUGCUUUCAACACGCAGACCCACUUGCAAUCUCCGGCCAACAACCCAUCACCCACCAUCAAACCUCCGCAACCACCUUCACUCUCCGCGUGAAAUUCUCACUAUCACUGCCACUGUUCACUUGGUUAAAAUGUGGUUAUAAUGUGGUUAAAAUUUAG